rnacentral:lncRNA from 1 species
UUGGGACCAUUAGAGGUAGCUUUCCCCUUCUAUCUCUAUGAGAAUCUAUGCAUGGAGAGUAGUAAGGGGGGGUAUAGGAGUCAUACUUGUAGUAGAAGUUCUUCGACUUCGGAUUUUGCCAGUGAGGUGGAGCCUCUCCAUCAACUUGGGCUUUGCUAGGCCCUUUUGAGGUUCCAUCUUUUUUUUUUCAUCUUUUUUUGACCUUUGCUUUCGAAUUA